AUUGAACGCUGGCGGCAGGCUUAACACAUGCAAGUCGAGCGGGGGAAGGUAGCUUGCUACCGGACCUAGCGGCGGACGGGUGGGUAAUGCUUAGGAAUCUGCCUAUUAGUGGGGGACAACAUCUCGAAAGGGAUGCUAAUACCGCAUACGUCCUACGGGAGAAAGCAGGGGAUCUUCGGACCUUGUGCUAAUAGAUGAGCCUAAGUCGGAUUAGCUAGUUGGUGGGGUAAAGGACUACCAAGGCGACGAUCUGUAGCGGGUCUGAGAGGAUGAUCCGCCACACUGGGACGGAGACACGGCCCAGAUUCCUACGGGAGGCAGCAGUGGGGAAUAUUGGACAAUGGGGGGAACCCUGGUCCAGCCAUGCCGGGUGUGUGAAGAAGGCCUUAUGGUUGUAAAGCACUUUAAGCGAGGAGGAGGCUACUUUAGUUAAUACCUAGAGAUAGUGGACGUUACUCGCAGAAUAAGCACCGGCUAACUCUGUGCCAGCCGCCGCAGUAA
rnacentral:rRNA from 1 species